rnacentral:rRNA from 1 species
AGGGGUUUGAUCAUGGGCUCAGAGUGAAUGCUAUUGAUAUACAUUAUACAUGCAAGUCGAACGAGGUUCAAAAAGAAUUUAGUGGCGUACGGGUGAGUAAAGCAAAAGGAUUUGCCUAAUAGUAGAGAACAUAAAAAGAAAUUCUCUAUAAAUUAUAAAUUAAAAAAAGUAAUAAAAGAAGUAUAUCGCUAUUAGAGGAGCUUUUGUAGGAUUAGGUUGUUGGUAGGGUAAGGGCCUACCAAGCCAAAGAUCUUUAGCUGGUCUGAGAGGAUGUACAGCCACACUGAGACUGAAACAAGGCUCAGACUUCCACGGAAGGCUGCAGUAGGGAAUACUGGACAAUGGGCGAAAGCUUGAUCCGGUGAUAUCAAAGGAGUGAAGAAGGUGAAAAUUGUAAAACUUGACUACUAAAGAGGAUAAUGACGUUAAUUAGUAGGAAAGCCCCGGCUAAUCUUGUGGCAGCAGCCGCGGUAAUACAGGAGGGGCAAGUGUUACUCGUCAUGAUUGGGCGUAAAGGGUACGUAGGCGGUCUAAAAAGUUAUAGGUUAGAAGCGUAUAAAACUAAUAGACUAGAAUUUAGAAGAGGGAAGCCGUAUUGCUACAGGAGAGGUGAAAUGUGAAGAUAGUAGUAAGACGAUCGAAGGCGAAGGCAGCUUUCUAGUCUAUAAUUGACGCUGAGGUACGAAAGCGUGGGGAGCGAGUGGGAUUAGAUACCCAUUAGUCCACGCUGUCAACGAUGAAUGUUAUAUAUUG